rnacentral:rRNA from 1 species
UACGAAGGGUGCAAGCGUUACUCGGAAUUACUGGGCGUAAAGCGUGCGUAGGUGGUUUGUUAAGUCUGAUGUGAAAGCCCUGGGCUCAACCUGGGAAUUGCAUUGGAUACUGGCAGGCUAGAGUGCGGUAGAGGAUGGCGGAAUUCCCGGUGUAGCAGUGAAAUGCGUAGAGAUCGGGAGGAACACCGGUGGCGAAGGCGGGUCUCUGGGCCGAUACUGACGCUGAGGAGCGAAAGCGUGGGGAGCGAACAGG